GGAUCCCAUCAGAACUCCGCAGUUAAGCGUGCUUGGGCGUGAGUAGUACUAGGAUGGGUGACCUCCUGGGAAGUCCUCGUGUUGCACCU
rnacentral:rRNA from 1 species